rnacentral:lncRNA from 1 species
CGUGACCCAGCUCUUCCCAGCUGGUCCAUUUGUCCUACACCAAGAUAGUCUUUGCAUUGUUGUUAAUGACAUCAGAAUACUGGAAACAAGCUAACUAUCUGUGAAUUGGGGAUCAAUGGCAGGACAUCCACAGACGCAGCAUCACAGAGCCUGUAGAUGAACUCUGCUUGGGCAGUGCCCAGGAUGCAUGACGUGAGAGCAGUCUGUGCUUUUGCCUGGGUUUUAAGAACAGGGACGGGUGCGUGUGUGUUCUGUGCACGUCUGCGCACACCUCUCUCUGAAAGGUGGCCUCUGCUACAAGACAGAAGGAUAGGGACGUUCUGAUGCAGUUUUAACAUGUUAAAUCUUUUUCAUUUAAAAAAUGUGU